rnacentral:tRNA from 1 species
GGGGAGAUACCAAAGCGGUCAACUGGGGCAGACUGUAAAUCUGCUGGUUAAUACCUUCGUAGGUUCGAAUCCUGCUCUCCCCACCA